rnacentral:rRNA from 1 species
AGUGAACGCUGGCGGUAGGCCUAACACAUGCAAGUCGAACGGCAGCACAGUAAGAGCUUGCUCUUACGGGUGGCGAGUGGCGGACGGGUGAGGCAUACAUCGGAAUCUACUUUUUCGUGGGGGAUAACGUAGGGAAACUUACGCUAAUACCGCAUACGACCUACGGGUGAAAGCAGGGGAUCUUCGGACCUUGCGCGAUUGAAUGAGCCGAUGUCGGAUUAGCUAGUUGGCAGGGUAAAGGCCCACCAAGGCGACGAUCCGUAGCUGGUCUGAGAGGAUGAUCAGCCACACUGGAACUGAGACACGGUCCAGACUCCUACGGGAGGCAGCAGUGGGGAAUAUUGGACAAUGGGCGCAAGCCUGAUCCAGCCAUACCGCGUGGGUGAAGAAGGCCUUCGGGUUGUAAAGCCCUUUUGUUGGGAAAGAAAAGCAGCAGGUUAAUACCCCGCUGUUCUGACGGUACCCAAAGAAUAAGCACCGGCUAACUUCGUG